rnacentral:rRNA from 1 species
UAGGGAAUCUUCCGCAAUGGACGCAAGUCUGACGGAGCAACGCCGCGUGAGUGAAGAAGGAUUUCGGUUCGUAAAACUCUGUUGUUAGAGAAGAACAGCGCAUAGAGUAACUGUUAUGCGUGUGACGGUAUCUAACCAGAAAGCCACGGCUAACUACGUGCCAGCAGCCGCGGUAAUACGUAGGUGGCAAGCGUUGUCCGGAUUUAUUGGGCGUAAAGCGAGCGCAGGCGGUCAAUUAAGUCUGAUGUGAAAGCCCCCGGCUCAACCGGGGAGGGUCAUUGGAAACUGGUUGACUUGAGUGCAGAAGAGGAGAGUGGAAUUCCAUGUGUAGCGGUGAAAUGCGUAGAUAUAUGGAGGAACACCAGUAGCGAAGGCGACUCUCUGGUCUGUAACUGACGCUGAGGUUCGAAAGCGUGGGUAGCAAACAGG